GGCAACUUCAGGCUUCAGGCUGCUUCAGGAGACUGCCAGCACAGCUACUUCUGGAUAACACAGGAAUCACACGCUGCAUACAACAGUUCAAUUAGUCUUCAUCACAUCUUACACCAUCAGGCUGCAACAAGUGUGUACAAACAGGACUCAUUAUGACAGAAGAAUACAAGGAGUUAGACAAAACUACGCAGUCCAACAGAUCUCUCCGAUAUCUCAAAUUUUACAAAGGAAGUUAGAAUUGUAGGAAAUUGGACACAAAUAAUUACGUUUGCUUUUGCAUGGGACGAGACGUACGUGUACAGGCAGCAAGACACACGAGGCACAUUUCGGCAAAAUGA